rnacentral:rRNA from 1 species
UACAGAGGUCCCAAGCGUUGUUCGGAUUCACUGGGCGUAAAGGGUGCGUAGGCGGCCGGGUAAGUCUGUUGUGAAAUCUCCAAGCUUAACUUGGAAACUGCAGUGGAUACUAUCCGGCUAGAGGAAUGGAGGGGAGACUGGAAUACUUGGUGUAGCAGUGAAAUGCGUAGAUAUCAAGUGGAACACCAGUGGCGAAGGCGAGUCUCUGGACAUUUCCUGACGCUGAGGCACGAAAGCCAGGGGAGCAAACGGG